rnacentral:lncRNA from 1 species
UCUUAGAGCCCUUCCCACUGUCACAAGUGCUAUAGGCAAGCCGUGACAUUCACCCGCAACCUCCCUUGCCACUGUGUUCAAGGUAGAGUCCCCAUCACGUAAACCUGCAUUGAUUCUGAAUAAAUCCCAUGCUUCAUCUUUAGGUAAGACUUUUAAAAACACUUUUUGCUGGCACUCCAUAGAAGAACAUAUGCCUUGAAGACGAGUUGUUAGAACAAUUUUACAACCCCUGUGACCAUCACCCAAUGGGAUACCUAUCUCUUUUAAGUCAAUAAGUCUCCAAACAUCAUCCAGGAUUUACAAGCAUCUUCUCCACUUUCUCCAGUCUCUGCCAUAAUAGAUCAGCUCUCCCUGCAUUAGUACUCUUUUCUUUAAUAUUCAGACCUAACUUAUCUGCUAUUUGCUUCUGAAUGUCUCUGACAUUUGGAUUCUGCGACACCGUAGCCAUCACAACUUCAUAAGAAGGCUGCGACUCUUUGGCUUUCCUGCCUACUUCUUUCACCAGGGUGGUUUUACCCACCCCUCCCAUGCCGCACAGUCCGAUCAUAUUGACGUUGUCAUCUUUGAGAGCUUUCAUGAUCUGUUUCAAAGCUUCUUUUGAGGAUUCUGAGGGUGUGAAUUCCUUUGAUGGGAGAAAUUCUAUGGGAUGGGGAUGAGCUUUGUGGGCCACUGUUUUAAACUUUUCGCUAAUUUCUCCAAGUUUUCUGAAAGUCUCCGACUUCUUGGCCAGUGCCUUGCUAAACUUGAAUUGUCGCAUGCAGUUUGGACACCAAUUGAAGCAUUUGCCAUUUUUUCCUAUUUCAAUUUCCAAAGGCUUCGCACCUUCAAUUUCGUUGUUUGCAUCUUCCAGCCACUUUUUGACAUCUUUGUAAAUUUCUUCAGCAUUCCUUUCAGCAGCUUUGACAUCAUCUUGCAGACGUUCUUUUGCCGAAUCCAGGUUCUGCUUUCGUUCAUUGAAUUCUUCAACAAAAUGGUUGAAACAGAACAUGUAACGGAACUGCCUUCCUACUGGUUCCACCAUGAGUUCUGCUAUCUUAGAUAUAAUGGCUCCAACCACACUUUCGAUAGCCAUUUUCCACCGACCCUGAAAAUCAGAGAAAUAAGGAUACAGAACGUGAGAGUGAGUCACUACAAGUAAAACAGGCGCAGAGAGAAUGGGAAUAGGAAUUUCAUUACCUUAAUUUGGGAAAAGCACUGGUACUGAUAACUCAAUGAAAUAGCGGGAGGAAGAAAAGGAGAAGGCCUUUAGCUCUGUAUGGAAUCCAGCUUCAAAAGCAAAAAGGCAAGGUAUAAGGAUUAUAACUGACACUUGUGAGUUAAAGCAGUAAUUCCUAUUAAAAAUGCAUUUUGAUGACAUAAUUAAGAUCAUUUAGAGACAGUGACAAACAAACAAAAAAAAGGUAUAAAAGUACUCACCUAGCAAAGAAAGAAGCGAAUGAAAGGUUCAGGAUAAUCACUUAGCUCGUUUCCAACAACAAAUAUAAUUAAUUAAUCUAAGCUAUGAUCGGUCAAUGUUUUUGGUAGUUUUAUUCUUGUUUUUUUUUUAAAAAAAACAAAUCAAUAAAUGAAAAGACUUGCAAAGAAAUAGAAUUACUGGAAUGAACACAAUAAAAAAUGAAACUCAAGCAAUUAAAAAUAAAUUAUCUAUGAUGAUCAUCUCUGUGUUCCGCUCACUGAGGUAAUAUGAUUGGCCUAUCACAAUAUUAAAAAAAAAAAAAAAAAAAGCUAAAAGAACUAGGUUUAUGGUGGCAUCCAGAGUGCGGUUACUUUCUUCAUCCUUCUUUUGUGGUUUUAUUUUAUUUCAGUCCUUCAAAUCUUUUUUUUUUGCUAUAUCAUCGAGUUGAUGUGCUUGCUCUAAAAUAUGCAUUAUGCUAGGGAUUAUAAUUAAAAAUUUCAUUCUUAAAAAAAAAAAAAAUUAUGAGAAAGUACCAAUAUUACAACGGGGAGUAAAUGAAAGAAGAAUUUUAAAUCUUUUUGUGACAUGGUGACCAGCAUAUCCAAGUAACCAAUAGAUUAUCGCCACUUGUUCAACCUGAUCUGCACAUUAAGAUAGGGGUAGUCAUAACUAUUACUCGUUUGUUGGACGGAAAAUAAAUUUUAAUUGUUAUUUAUUUUAUUUGAAAUAAUUUAUGAAAUUAGAUUUUUUUUUAAUUUCUUUCUAAUUCAACUUCUUAAUUUGUAAGAUUUAUUUCUUGUUAUUUUAAUAAACUUAAAAAAAUAAUAUUAAUAAACUAUUUUUCAGUUUAUUUUAUAUAACAUAACUAAAUAAUAAAAUUUUUUUUUUAAUUUAUUUUACUGUGAUACUAUCAAAUAUCACGGAGAGGUUGUUGGAGGCAGAAAAGGAAAGACUACUAUAGUAUUCUUCUCUAUAUUUUGAGUUUUAGUUGUUAAUAGCCAUGCUCUUGCAAAUAAGGCAGGAAAGGAGGACCUGAAAUCACGGCAGCGAAUAAGGAGAGAAAUAGCGUGUUUGUUUUUUAUUUUUUAUUUUUUUUUAUAAUUUUUUUUUGUAUUCUAAAUUAAUUUUUUAUAUUUUUAUAUUGAUAUUAAAAAUAAUUUUAAAAAAUAAAAAAUAUAUUAUUUUAAUAUAUUUUUAAAAUAAAAAAUAUUUUAAAAGACAACUACUUAUUCAAACACUUAAAAUAAAAACCUUAAAAUCACGGCAUGAUAAAAGGAGCAAGAAAGUAAUGGGACAAAGAAGGAAGAAAAUUAGUAUGAAAAAGGCUAUUUGUUUUUUUACUGUGUCAGAGUGGUUUUUAUAAUUAUAUUUAAUUUAUAAAAUUAUAAAAUUAAUAUAUUUCUAAAUAUUUCUUGUUAUAUAUAAUAUUCUAAUAUGUUUUUAAAUAAAAAAUUAAUUUAAAAAACAUGUGUCACAAUACUAAAUUAUAGUAUAAAUUAAAAGAUAAAAGAGUUUUUUGAUUAUUACUAUUUAACGAGACUUAUUUUAUUGUGGAUGUGGAUAUUAAUAGUGAAUUUUUUUAAAAUUUUCAAUUUGGUAUUUGAAUUUUUUUUUCAUAAUUGAAUCUCUUUAUGCCCAAAUUAAAACUCAAUUUCAUUUUGUUUUUUAAGGAUAAGAGUUGAAUUCAAAGAUAGAUGACUGAAAUGAAACAUUUGGUAAAAAUAUGCGGUGACACUGUAAUUGUUUGCAAAAUUCAUUCUGUAAUUGGUUGUAAAGUUCAUUUUAGUUCCUUAUCUUUUUAAGCUACUAAGUAACAUGUCCCUAUAAUUUCUCAACAUUACAUUUUAUUCAGAAUCUUGAUUAUGCUCUAGGGAUUAAACUGAAAAUUUUAUAAAUUAAGAGAUCAAACUGAAAUUUCAUCAUAUUCAAUCUCAAACCUAGAAUCUUCACAUAUCACUUACUGAUAUAAACAAGAUUUCUAACUCAAAUUCACCAUUUAAACAAACCAUAACUCAAAAUCAUCAUUUUUACUUAAAAUCUUUCAAAAUCAACUAAAUAACUCAUUAUCCAUAACAAUCAACACAUAAUAUUCAAAUCAAUUCAUCAAUCAAACCCAAAACACAAUCUUCAAAACCCUAAUAUUCAACAAAAUAGAAAAUUAAAGCUAAGAAAAACACAUUUAUACAAAUCAAAGCGUAAAUAUUCUUACAUUUUAAUUUAUUUUCUCUAACUCUCUUAUCAUUUCUUUAUCUUUUCCUCAUUUCUCUUUUUUUUCUUUCGCUGUCAUGGUUUCCUCUCUAAGAACUCAGAUCUCUUUUUUUUUUUCUGUUUAUAUUUAUGAACUCUUUGUUCAAUUACUAAAAUACCGUUCAUUCAUUUAUACCUACUUCUAAGCCUCCAAGAGUUUUGUUGUCUUUUUCUAUUCUCUUUUAUUUUCAAAUCAUCACAAUAAAAUUGUUUUCUUUUUAUUAAGCUGCUAAUUUAUGCAGCUUUAGCUCCUGUUCUCUUUUCAUGUUUAGCAACUCUGAUCUGUUCCUUUUCUUUACAUGAUAUAUGAGCAGGUUCUUACCUCUUGAAGUCUGCUAGAUAAACCUAUCAGCAGAAGAUCCUGAAGCGAUCCCAAAUCACAGCUUCAAUCCCCACCACAACCAAUCUCCUCUUUCCCGUAGUCUGUCGUCCUCAAUUGGGAAAUGAUCUCAAAAAAUCACUUGAUGCAACAAGUAGGGUAGGGAAAUAUAAGACUUCAACAAAGAAUCAAACUCAAAAAAAUAAAAGUAAUUGUCUGUGAGAAGCAUUUCUGUGUCACGCACUCAAGUAAUAUGAUUGACCUAUUACAUUACACAAAUUAAUAAUAAUAAUAAUAAUAAUAAUAAUAAUAAUAAUAAAAGAACUAGGUUUUUUAUGGCAUCUAGAGUGCUGUUACUUUCAAACAAAGAGGCUCGUGCAUGCGGUGUUACGCUGUUCAUGUAGGCUAGGAUCUCCUAUGAAUAUAAUUGUAAAAUCAUACAAUUGAAUUCUUUUUAUUAAGCUGCUAAUUUAUGCAGCUUUAGCUCAUGUUCUCUCUUCUUGUCUUGCAACUCUGAACUGUUCCUUUUGUUUGCAUGAUAUAAGAGCAGGUUCUUACCUCUUGAACUCUGCUUCAAUCCCCGUAGUCUUCCGUCCUCAAUUGGAAAAUGAUCCAAAAUCAACAACUGGUCCGGAGAUAGUUUGAGUGAAAAGAAACGGCUGAAAGAUGAAAUGUGAAGGUUAUGGUGAGGAAUUAGAUGACAAACUUACUUUGUCCUACUAAUGCUUUUGCUUUCAUUGUUUCAAAAAGUAAAAGAGACAUGAGCAUAAUCAUAAGAAUCCUGUUUUUUCUAUUUUUUCUCCUAUUUAUACAUCAAAAAAUGGCAGUUUUUCUUUUCCUUUCUUUUAAAAAUCUUAUGCCUAAUUGGGUGAGGAAAUUAGUGGAGCAUUAGACCUUUUAAAAGACAACAAAAAGAAGCAAUGUCUCAUCUUUUGAUAUGGUGGUACAAGAUACACCAUGGUAUGAUGGUCUUGCAAGAAAUGUCUUAGCUUUUGAUAUGGUGGUCUUCCAUGAUCAGUUCUCGAAAGAUUCGAGUCUCCGUUCUAGUUCAGGUUGGAAGCUAGGCCGAAAGCUAAGAUUCUUUUAUUAGUGGUUGGUGUGGAUGAGUAUUGCAAGAAUGGACUCAAAGGGUCAGCUAAUCCGCAUAAUUAAACAGUACUGUUACUGUAAACUACUAGGAAAUUCAAGGAAAGUUAACAAUAGUAUUGACUCGAUCAAGUAAGGGGCUCCCGUGUCUAGAGAGGACCUUGCCGUUAAGGAAAUAACCAUAAAAUCUAUGGAGCCCACUAUUUAUUAAUCCAUUUCUAUUUACUACUAUUACUAUUUAUUUAUUUUUAUUAAUUUACUAUAUUUUUGUUUGUGUACGAAUAAAAUUUGAGAUUCCUUCAAUUUUUUACAGGCUUAGCUAGCAAUCGAUAAUUAAUUUUUAAUGAAUUCAAUUUUUAUUUAAUAUAGUAGAAAAUUAUAGUGAUUUAAAAAAAUUCAUUAAAAUGCUUGUAAAUGUUUUUAUUUUGUGACCACGGUUCUUGUGUUAUCUUUUAUGUAUUGUCAUUGUCGUACAUGGACGCGUGAUAUGGGGGUCAUUUGGAGUCGCUACCUAGUUGUUUAGUUUAACAUCACUAAAAAACCUAGAUAUACUAGUCCUGUUAGAGAUUCGAGAGUAAAUAACUAGUUAUGGCUAAAGAAUGUAUUAACACUCCUAGCGCACCCUAUCCAGGUAAGUUCCUUUGUGAUUAGAUGUGGUUUAGAGAUUUUGAUGGUUUUCUGAUAUAUCUAUGGUUUAGGAUUGGGAUGUGCUUGUAUGGAUAAAUUUGGUGUUUAAUAAUUUAUUAUGGACUCUUGUACCCAGAUAAAUUCUUAUAAAAAAAAUUUCUUUGUAAUGUGUGUAUUAUGGUAAAAAUUUCCCUUAAUAAAAAUUCAUGAACAUUUAGAAUAACUUUGAGGAUUUUCUUAUCAACUCCAAUAUUUCAAAUAUCAGCUUCACUUAUAGGUAUAGUGUUUUAUAUCAAGAUUUUUAACCAUUAAUUCUCAUUAAUUAAAAAAUAGUGGUCUAUUAAAAUAUUGACCAAAGUCACAUGAAUUUAAUAAACCAGUUAUUAAAUUCUAAAAUGCAUAUUCAUAUAUAAUAUUUUAAUUUGUUUUUAAAUAAAGAAUAUUUUAAAAAAGUAUGGGCCACAAUACCAAAGUAUAGUAUAAAUUAAAAGAGAAAGGAGUUUUCUCUUCAUCACUAUUCACUUAUAUUCAUUUCACUAUGGAUAUUAAUAGUGAAUAUUUUGAAAAUUUGCAAUUUGAUUGCAAAGUUCAUUUUAGUCCCUAUAAUUUUUCAUCAUUGUAUUUUCAUACCAAACCUUAUUUUUCUCUGUUUUUAUUUUUUUUGUAAGAGAGAGAGGAUCACCAUAUUUCAUUGUAGACAGAGAAAGUUGUUGUUGGGGAUUUUGGCCACCAAAUUUCUAGGUGGUUUUGGUUAAAAUGGCUGAAAACAGGUUGUGGGUUUCAACUGAGUUUUUUAUUAAAUUAGUCAAUGUUUUUUUUAGUUUUUUUUUUAAAAACAAUUCAACAAGAGAGAAAAGACUUGUAAAAAUAUAGAAUUACAGAAAGAAACUCAACAAAAAAUCAGACUCAAGCAAUUAAAAAUAAUUUUCUAUGAUAACCAUCUCUGUAUCACACAUUCAGGUAAAUAUGAUUGACCUAUAACAUAAAUAAAGCCCUGCAAACAAUUAAAUUAUGCUUCAAAAGCAACAAGACAAGGUAUAAAGUAUACCAACAAAAAUAGUUUACUAACUGACACUUGUGAGUUAAAGCAGUAAUUCCCAUUAAAAAUGCAUUUUGAUGACAUAAUUAAGAUAAUAUAUAGACAGUGACAAAAUAAAAUAAUAAAAAAAAAUAAUGUGUAAAAGAAACGAAUGAAAGGUUCAGGGUAAUCACUUAGACUCCUCCACGGAUGAUACCAGCUCGCUUCCACCAACAAAUAUAAUUAACCUAAGCUAUGAUAGGUCAAAGUUCUUUUUAGUUUUUUUUUAUAUAAAAAAAACAGAUCAACAAGAGAAAAGACUUGUAAAAAAGUAGAAUUGCGAAACUCAACAAAGAAUCAAACUGAAGCAAUUAAAAAUAAUAGUAUAUGAUGACCAUCUCUUAUCACACAUUGUAAUAUGAUUGACCUAUAACAAUAUUAAAAUAAUAAUAAUAAUAAAAAGCUAAUAGAUGGUCGCCACGUGUUCAACUUUAUCUCCCCUUAGGAAAGGAUAGAAAGUGGGAGAGAGAGAGGUUAAAAGGCUUUAAAAAAAAAAAAAAAGGAAAGACAGAAAUAAAAGAAAGGUUGAGAUACGAGAGGGACGUGGAAAUAGAAGGAGAGGUUGAGACAUUGAAAGAUCGGAGUAAAGAAGACAACAUGAAUAUGUGAUGCUCGUUUAUCUAUUAAAUUAAAUUUUAUUUUAAUUUUAUUUCAAAUUAAUUUUUAAAAAAACUAAUUUGAAAAUUAGUAUGAAAAAAAAGGAUAAUAGAGUAGGUGUCCAAAUCAAAACACAUAAAUAUAGGACAAAAACAGGGAGAGAGGCUCUUUGUUUUUUUAACUGUAUUGGUUUAUAGUGUUUUAUAAAUAUUUUAGAUAAAAAAUAGGUUAAAAGGAAGUUUUUAAAUAAAAAAUCAAGCUUUAUUAUUUUAUAUAAUUCAAAUAAAAUCAAUUUAUUUAAUUGUUUAGAAUUAUAACUCAAGUUAUUUAACGACUUUUUAAAUUAUUUCUGUUACUUUCCCUCAAUUUUCUAGACAAGCAAAAGGAGCUAAACUUAUUCCCGACCAAAACGUCAAGAAUUUCAGUAGAACAAAAGAAGAGAUUAUUACUUGACCAAAAACAACCAGUCAUCACCCAAAGAAACCGAGUCAAUGAGAGAAAAAGACUGAUAGCUAGAAAACAAUCAACAGAUCCAAGAAUUUUCUGUAUGGUUUCCAAGAAAAUGAAACGAAACAAAGAUAGACAAAGAUAGUUCGAGGAAGUGGGCAGCCUUUUUUCUGCUGUUAACGCAGACUAAGAACUCCUACCAUCGUAAAAUCAUAUAAUUAAAACACAACAAUAAAAAAGUAAUGAGCAGCUAACUAUGUGCGAAAACCAGAGAAAUAAGGAUACAAAACGUGAGAGUGAGUCAUUGUUGUAAGUAAAAGAGGCGCAGAGAGAAUGGGAAUUGGAAUUUCAUACCUUAACUUGAGAAAAUAUGUGCGAAAAGCAGUGGUACUGAUUGCUCAAUGAAAAGGAGAAGGCCUUUAGCUCUGUAUGGAAUCCAGCUUCAACAGCAACAAGGCAAGGUCUAAGCAUUUUGAUGACAUAAUUAAGAUAAUAUGCGUAGUAAUAUAGAGACAGUGACAAAGAAAUGAAGAAAAAAAAUGCGUACGAGUACUCACCUAGCAAAGAAAGAAACGGAUGAAAGGUUCAGGAUAAUCACUUAGACGUUUCCAUGGAUGAUACCAGCUUGCUUCCAACAACAAAUAUAAUUAACCUAAGCUAUGAUCGGUCAAUGUUUUUUUUAGUUUUCUUCUUUUUCAGAAAAAAAAAAAAAAAAAAACAGAUCAUCAAGGGAAAAGACUUGCAAAGAAGUAGAAUUAAUGGAACGAACACAACAAGGAAUCAAACUCAAGCAAUUAAAAGUAAUUGUCUAUGAGUACCAUCUGUGUCACACGCUCAAGUGAGGAGAGAAAACAAGGAAAAAGAAAGGAAAGGGACAAGGAAGGCAGAAAGUAAGGUCACGUAGGGCUAGUCUUGUAGAAAGUGGGAGAGAGAGAGAGAGAGGUUAAAAAGGCUUAAAAAGAAAAGAAAAGGAAAGACAGAAAUAAAGGAAAGGACGUGGAAAUAGAAGGAGAGGUUGAGGGAGGCAGAAACGGAAGGAGACAUUGAAAGAUCGGAAGAGAGCAAAGAAAACAACAUGUUUGAGUGGGAUUUUUUUGUGCCUUUGAUAAAAAUACUCUGUUUUUUUUUCUCUUUGAUUGGGAUUUUUUUGUGUCUCUUUUAUUUGGAAUUUCUUUGGACACUUUAAUAAUAUAAUAACAAAAAAUAAUUUGAUUAAAUUAUUGUUCAUUCAAACACAGAUUUACUGUGGACUCCAAUAGUAUUUUUCACUAUAUUUUGAAUUUUAGUUUUUGAUAGCCAUGCUCGUUUGAUUUUUUUUUUUUUUUUUCAUACUCUUCCAAAUAAUGCAAGAAAUGAGGACCUGAAAUAACAGCAGCGAAUAAGGAGAGAGAUAACGUGUUUGUUCUUGUUUCUUAGAAAGUAUUUUAAAAAAUAUUAAAUUAAAUUUUAUUUUAUUUUUAUUUCAAAUUAAUUUUUAAAAAAACUAAUUUGAAAAUUAAUAUGAAAAAAGAGGAUAAUAGAGUAGUUGUCCCAAUCAAAACACAUAAAUAUAGGACAAAAACAGGGAUAAUAGAGUGCUCUUUGUUUUCUUAACUGUAUUGGUUUAAUAAGGUUUAUAGAGUGUUGUAUAAAUAUUUUAGAUAAAAAAAAGGUUAAAAGCAAGUUUUUAAAUAAAAAAAAAAGCUUUAUUUUUUUAUAUAAUUUAAAUAAAAUCAAUUUACUUAGUUGUUAAGAAUUAUAACUCAAGGGGAAAAACUUACAAAGAAGUAGAAUUACCGGAACAAACACAAGAAAGGAUCAAACUCAAGCAAUGAAAAGUAAUUGUUUACGAUGAUCAUCUCACUAAGUAAGGAGAGAAAAGAAGGAGAAAGAAAGGAAAAGGACAAAGAAGGCAGAAAGUAAGGUCACGUAGGGCCAGUCUUGUAGAAAGUUUGAGAAUUAGAGAGGCUGUUUGCUGCCAAGUGCCACGUGACACAAACGAAGCUACCCCUUACCUACUCCUGGAAAGGAAUGUCAGACUAUACUGCCUUUUUCAAUUCAUUAAUGUCGUUCCCAUCAUAUACAUGUUUUAUAUUCUUAAAAUUGCUCUGUGGGAUUGCAGGCCAUGCUCGUUUGAUUUUUUUUAUAACAAAAUUCUUUCCGUAUAAUUUUCCAACAUUGCACUUGGAUACCAAACUUCAAUUUACUCUUUUUCAAGGUUUUUUUUUUUUUUUUGGAGAAAAGAGUGGGUCCUUGAAUUUUAUUUCAGAGAGAGAAAGUUGUUGUUAGCUAUCAAAAUCAUUGAUUUUUGUGUCAAAUGAUAAUCAUCUAUUUUUUUUCUGUGUGUUCAUACUUAAAACCUUCUUAAAGAGUUCUUAUCAAUGACUUUAAAACCACUCUUUCUAGAUCAAAAGGUUAGAAAUAACUCUCUACCCUCUAAAUCUAACAAAACCACCAAGUACCUUUAAAACCAAAACCACAAUUGCAAAACUAGUUUAGUAUAAGAACUUCUAACUAUUAGCUUUUGUCCAUAACUCUCUCAUUUUGAUCUAAUGGUUAAACUUUCAUUAAUUUUUAAGGGAAUCUAUAAAAAAACCUAGAAAAACUCUAUAAAUACCCUUGAAAAUCAGAGUCAGAGAGAAGGAGAGAAGGGGAGAAAAGGAGAGAAAAAACAUGGGGAAAAAAUUUGUUAAUAGACUCUAUUACGAAGGUUCAAGAGCUUAAUAUAAAAGGUCUAAACAACUUUUAAAAAAAAAAAGUUAAAAGAAAAGAAGGAAGGAAAUGAGAAGAAAAAAAAAUAACAACGUAAUUUUGAACUUAGAAGGCCUAAUUUCAGUGCAAGUUGAGAGCAUUAGAGACUAGACCGUGCUUAUACCAAAAACGACUCUCAUCGUUGAAGGAAUGCAAACAGUUGUUAACGAGACACUCAUGCUGUUCCAACAUUCAAAGAUUGUUGAAUCUAGUACUGGUGCUCAUUCUGGAUCUAGUACCAAAAGGAAUAUAGAAAGAGAUUACCAUUGGGGCAAACGUGGGCAAUGCAUUUAUAAUAGCCAGAGAGGUGUUUUUAUAUACAAUCAACAAUUAAGGUAUCUUCUUGUGCUGAGCUUCCAUCAUGGUUGCAAGACAUUACCAUUGGGGCAAGGUCAUUUUGCUCGUAAAAGCAAGUUUUAAUUAAAAACUAAAUAAAUAAAGUAUUGAAAAUUGUUAUAAUCAAUUUGAAAAAACCUAAUAACAAUAGAUUAUUAUUCUUGUUAAACCCCUAACUUCAUAAUAAAAUUUGAUUAUCCUAAUACAAGAUUUAAUAUAAUUUCAUAGUUGUUAAACACUAACUGGACAUACAAAAAAGUACAAAUUACAACAAAAAAAUAAUUUGUUAAUAGACUUAUUAAAUUGGAGGACUAAACUAAAAAUGUCAUAAGUUCAUGACUAUACUAAAAUUCUUUCCAUAAUUCAUCCUCAAUUUUAUCUAGAAUUUCAAAUUAUGCUCCAGAAAUCACUCUGGAAUUUUUUUAAAUUUCUAAGGUCAAAUUAUAAUUUCAUCAAAUUGGAGGAUCAAAAUGAAAAUGUCAUAAAUUCAUAACUAUACUGGAAUUCUACCCAUAAUUCAUUUUUAAUUAUGUCCAGAAUCUUGGAUUAUACUUCAGGGACCAAUCUCUAAUUUUUUCACAGUUCAGGGAUUAAAUUAUAAUUUUUAUAAAUUGAGGGACUAAGCUGAAAUUUCAUAAUCUUCAACCUCAAACCCAGAAUUUACAUAGAUAACCUAUUGAUAUAUCAAGAUUUCUAACUCAAAUUCACCAUUUAAAUAAAUUAUCACUCAAAAUUAUUAUUUUUAUCAAAAAGCUUUUAAAAUCAACUAAAUAACUCGUUAGCAUAUCAAUGAACCAAUAAUUUUUCUAUAAUGUAAUUGUAAUUCCUAGCAUAAUGCAUAUUGGAGGGCAAGCACAACAACUCAGGAGCAAAAAACUCGAUGAAAUAGCAAAAUAAAAAGACUUGAAGGACUGAAAUAAAAUAAAACAAAAAAAGAGGGAUGAAAAAACUAACCGCAUUCUGGUUGCCAUAAAAAACAUAGUUCUUUUAGUAUAUAUUUUUUUAAAAUAUUGUAAUAGGUCAAUCAUAUUACCCGAGUAUGUGACACAGAGAUGAUCAUCAUAGAAAAUUACUUUUAGGUGCUGGAGUUUUAUCCUUAGAUGACAAACUUACCUUUUUGUCCUUCUAAUGCUUUUGCUUUCAUUGUUUCGAAAGUAAAAGAGACAAAAACAUAAUCAUUUCCUUCCUUUUACUUUCCACUUCUUUGUAAUGGAUUGCAAACGGGAUGGUGCUUAGGGGGGGCCAGUUUUUCUUUUCCUUUCUUUUUAAAAUCUUAUUCCUUGGGUGAGGAAAUUAGUGGAGCAUUAGACUUUUUAAAAGACAACAAAAAGAAUUAAGUAAUGUCUCAUCUUUUGAUAUGGUGGUACAAGAUGCACCAUGGUAUGGUGGUCUUGCAAGAAUGUCUUAUCUUUUGAUAUGGUUGUCUUUCAUGAUCAGUUUGUUGAUGAGGAUAUCAAAAGAUUCGAGUCUCCGCUCUAGUUCAGGUUGGAAGCUAGGCAGAAAGCUAAGCUUCUUGUAAUUAUGAAUUGUUUAUGCAAAGGAAACCCAGAAGCUUGAACAAACAGAAAUGCCUUGUUGAUUUCUCUGCUACUACUCAUUAUUUCCAAUAUUAUUCCAUUAUCUUACCCGAAAGCAAUUAUACAAGAAAUUUAAUUAUCCUGCCCCAAAAGGAAAUUUAUUACAAGGACUUCCUUUAACCUCCUUGAAGGCAAUUUAUUUGAUGAAAAUUCCUUUAAUCCACCUCGAAGACAAUUUAUCUUAGGGAAUUCCAACAACCCAGACAAUUUAUUUCUUGGAAAUUCCUUUAACCCACCCUUAAGGCAUUUUAUCAAAGGGAAUUCCAAAAUCAAUUUAUUUCUUGGACUCGGUAUUCUCUGGUACUAGUUAUUUAUAUAUAUUUAACAACACUUUUAUCUUACAUUUAAAAAGAAAUUCAAAAGAAAGGAUAACCCUUACCUAGAGCUCCUGUGGUUCUUGUUCCCGAGAGAAUUGGCUCCACUACGGGCAAAUCUACUACCAAAAACCCAAGUUUCAACCAAUCAAUAACAUCAACACCCAUUUUAAUUCAAUGCAAUAAGUUUUUCUUAACCAAUUUACUUGAUGCAAGUUCUUAUAAUCAAAGUGACAGUAUUCGAGGUGAAGACAAGCAGAAGGGCGUGAUAGAGUUUGACAAAGAUCAAGCUAGUUCCAAUAAAGGGAAACACUCUAUGGCCUAUGCAGGCCAAACUGCAAUGGCAUCCAAUAAGUGAGGACAAUCUUGUAUCUUCCAAGUGGCAGUAGAAUUUAAUUAUAACUACCAUUAUUCUUAUCUUUAGUUAGUAAUAUAACUCUAUUUAUUGUAUCUAUUAGGACAUUUUGUAAUGAAAACCUGUUAGUUAUUUGGUGUGAUUCCAAGGAGUGAUUCCUUUGAAUGAUAUCAGGCUCUACUUAUUUCAUAUUCCUUGCAAUUCUUGGAUUCUGCAAUAAAGUUAUCCGAAUUCUUUUCCUCUAUCAAUACUUUCUUGCUAUCUUUUAUAUAAUGUUCAUUAGUUUACAUAAAUUGUUCCUUUAAUAUCGUUUGGUAUUAAUUGAUAUCAGAGCAAGUUUUGAAUUUUGUUCUUCUAUGCCUGGAAUCGCAGUGGAAAUUCUUAUAAUCCCACCAAUAAAAGAUUACAGGACCCAAACCAAUUCUGAACUCCCCGUAGAAAACAUCUCCAAACCCAUUUUGAAUCACCCACAACAAGCAUCUCCACAACCUAUUAUGAACCCCCCAUAACAAGCACCUAUUAUGAACCCCCCAUAACAAGCAUCUCUACAACAUGAUUCUACUUGUUAAACCAGUUACAACCACAAAUGGAGUUGGUUACCCGCACCUUGGGAGCCAUUGUUGAACAUCUGGAUAACAGUGAAGAAAGGAGUAAUAUUGAUGAAAAUUGAAGGGGCAGAGUUGAUCAAGGAGGAGAUGUGGCUAUAGAUGAUGAAGAAGUAGGAGAACAUUAGCUCAAUUCAGUCUACAGUAACAGGGAGGUCAAAAUUGAAAGAUAUGACUAUUUUCAUUAAUUUUAUUAAAGCUUAUAAUAAAACGUUGUGUUUUUAAUUGGAAUUUUUUUUUUUAUAUGGCUUGGCUUUUUUAUUUUUUUUAAAUGCAAUCUCCUUCCCUUUAUCAUACAGAAAUCCAGUUUUGAGUUUAUGUAACUAUAUUAACAAAACGAUUAAAUGCUUUCGUGUCAGUUUAAUUAUUUAUAUAAAUAAUAAACCCAGUUAAUAUAUUUUUUAAUCAGUUUAUGAUAUAUUUGUCUCAUAGUUGAGUUAGUUAAUGUAUGUUGAUUGAUCCGAAGGUAGUGGGUUCAAGCUAUACUAGGAAUAAUAUUAUGUUUUUUCAAAUUAGUAGCAAAGGCGUGUGGGCUUGUCUCAGGCUCACAUGCUAGUGCCUGAGUUUUACUGUAAUAGACCCUAUCAUAUUAGGCCACGUAAGCCGGAGUGGUUGGAUAUUUUUUUAUUGGUCAUUUUAAAUUUUUUUAUUUUUUUAAUAUAAUUUUUUAAUUUUAUAUUUUAAUGUUGAGUUUUUUUAUUGAGUUUUAUUUGUCAAUAUUGAAUUUAUUAUAAAUUAAUUUUUGUAUUUUUUAUUAUAUAUAAAAUAAAAAAGUUUAAUUUAAAUUAAUAGAGUUUAUAAUCCGAGUAAAGUACUUGGUGGGUUAGUUAUAAACCUGAACUUUUUUAUUUUUUAUUUUUUGGAAAAGUAAAAGACAAAUUAAAAAAAUAAAGUAAUCUAUCUUUUUGAUAAGGUGGUUCAAGAUGCACCAUGAUACGGAUGUAUUUUAUUUUAUUUUUGCCUUUUUCUUUUAAAAAUGUUAUCUAAGAUGGAAAUACUUGCAUCAUGAGUAUGUAUUGGCCUACAAGUCCAAGCUAUUUGUGAUCAGGAUAACCUAUCAUGUCGAGCAUUAGAGUUUUUAAAAGACAAAACGGGGACAAGUGGGAGGCGAAGAAAAAGACAAUAGUAGGUGGUCUAAGAUACAUCUAUCUAUAUAUGACAAUAAUAAAACAAGCCUUUAAAACAACUCUGAAAACAAAUUUUUUUAUAAUUCAUAAUUUAUAAACACAUGCGAUAAAAUAACACUAUUAGAAAUUCGUUAAAUAGCAAUGAAUUUACCGACAAAAUAUUUCUGUCGGUAAUUUAAGGUCGAAAUUACCGACGAAACUUUUUUCGUCCAUAGUUCAAUCGGUAACUGCCGACGGACACUUUUCGUCGGUAGUUACCGACUGAAUUACGGAUAGAAAGUUCAAAAUUAAAAAAAAAUAGACGGGCCGCUGACGUGGAGGUUUUGGCUGGGUGAUUUUUUUCGACAAAUUCAAAAUGACAACGUUGUACAGUCACGUGACCUGCUCACCGUUAAAAAUACCGAUGGAAUCACCGAGGGAUUACAGGACCCAUUUGAACUCCCCGUAGAAAACAUCUCCAAACCCAUUUUGAAUCACCCGCAACAAGCUUCUCUACAACAUGAUUCUACUUCCUUGUUAAACCAGUUACAACAACAAAUGGAGUUGGUUACCCGCACCUUGGGAGCCAUUGUUGAACAUCUAGAUAACAUUGAAGAAAGGAGUAAUAUUGAUGAAAAUUGAAGGGGCAGAAAUGAUCAAGGAGGGGAUGUGGCUAUAGAUGAUGAAGAAGUAGGAGAACAUUAGCUCAAUUCAGUCUACAGUGACAGGGAGGUCAAAAUUGAAAGAUAUUACUAUUUUCAUUAAUUUUAUUAUAGCUUAUAAUAAAACCUUGUGUUUUUAAUUGGAAUUUUUUUUAUAUGGCGUGGCUUCUUUUUUUUUUUUUUAAUGCAAUCUCCUUCCCUUUAUCAUACAGAAAUCCAGUUUUGAGUUUAUGUAACUAUAUUAACAAAACGAUUAAAUGCUUUCGUGUCAGUUUAAUUAUUUAUAUAAAUAAUAAACCCAGUUAAUAUAAUUUUUAAUCAUUUUAUGAUAUAUUUGUCUCAUAGUUGAGUUGGUUAAUGUGUGUUGAUUGAUCCGAAGGUAGUGGGUUCAAGCUGUACUAGGAUUAAUAUUAUAUUUUUUCAAAUUUAUAGCAAAGGCGUGUGGGGCUGUGGGCUUGUCUCAGGCUCACAUGCUAGUGCGUGAGUUUUACUGUAAUAGACCCUAUCACAUUAGGCCACAUAUGGUUGGAUAUUUUUUUUAUUGGUCAUUUUAAAUUUUUUUACUUUUUUUAAUAUAAUUUUUUAAUUUUAUAUUUUAAUGUUAAGUUUUUUUAUUGAGUUUUAUUUGUCAAUAUUAAAUUUAUUGUAAAUUAAUUUUUGUAUUUUUUAUUAUAUAUAAAAUAAAAAAUAAUAAUUUAAAUUAAUAGAGUUUAUAAUUCGAGUAAAGUAUUUGGUGGGUUAGCUAUAAACCUUAACUUUUUAUUUUUUAUUUUUUAGACGAGUAAGAGACAAAUUAAAUAAACAAAGUAAUCUCAUCUUUUGUUUUUUUUUUUUUUGUUUUGCCUUUUUCUUUUAAAAAUGUUAUCUCCUUGGUAAGGAAUCCUUGGUUCCCAACAGCAACUGUAGCAGAGUUGACGGUUGCGUAAAAACAAAUCUCUAAACUCCACCGAAAGUAGUGGAGCAUUAGAAUUUUUAAAAGACAAAACGGGGACAAGUAGGAGACGAAGAAAAAGACAAUAGUAGGUGGUCUCAGAUACACCGUAUAUAUGACAACAAGACAAUUGACCGUGCGAUGCGCGAGUUAUUUUUUUUACAUAAAAAAUAUUAAAAUAAAUAAAAGUUUAAAAAUUUUGAGUUUUUCUGUAAAGUUAUACAUAAAAAAUUUAAGUUUGGCUGCAACGCCUGACCUAAGAGUAAUAUUUAUAAUAUUAAUAAUAAAAUUAAACUUGCUGCAACACUGGACCCAAGAAUAUUGGAUGUGGGUCUAGAUAUAAGGUCGUGUCAUAAAAGUGUGAUAAUUAAAUAGAUUGAUAAAAAAAAACAAAGAAAAAAAGUCAACACAAAGGAAAAAACUAAUGAAGUAAAAGAAAAAGAAAUUAAAUUAAUUGAGUUAACCCUUUAAACCAGGUUAUCCCGUAAAACCUGGGAUUCACAUCAUAAAAGUUUGAUAACUAAAUAAAAAAAUAAAUGACGGGUUUACCCAGAAUUAACUGGGUUAACCCAUUAAACCAAGUUAACCCGUCAAGCCCAGGACACGUGUCAUGAAAGUAUAAAAGUCUGAUAAUUAAAUACAAAGAAAAUUAACUUUAACAAACUAAACUAAAUGAAAAAAAUAAUUUAUCAAAUCAGGCUAACCCAUCAAAUCCAAGAUUCGUAUCAUGAAAAUCUGAUAACUAAAUAAAAAAAUUUAACAUUAACAAAUUAAAUCAAACAAAAAAAAUUCAUUAAAAAAAAUUAAAAAGAAAAAAAGGAAAAAAAUAGUUAUAUAAUAUAAAAUAAUAUAAUACAAUGUAAUUAUAAUUAUAAUUAUAAUUAUAAUAAUAUAAUAUAUUAAUAAGUAAAUAUAUUAGUAAAAGGUGUGACAUGCCCGCGCGAUGCUGCGGGCUUACGGCAUGCUCGUGCAUUAUUGUGGAUUUGUGAAAAAAAUCAUAUAAAAAAAAUGUUAUCAUCCACAAUAUUUUAAAGGAAAAAACUACAAAACUAUAUUCUCAACCAGCUUAAUAUUAAAAAAAAAAAUCGACAAAAACAAUUAUAAAAAAAAACAAAAAAAAAAGAAGAUGAUAAUUUUGGAAGAAAAAAAAGCAAAAAGCAAAUAAUAAUAAUAAAAAAAAAACACGUGGGGAAAGUUAAAGUUAAAUUUUCAACCAGCUUAAAAUCAUUUAAGAAAACACUGUAGCAAUCUAUAGUGUUUUGUGAAGAAAUAUACAACUAUAAUUCUCAACCAGCUCAAUAUUAAAAAAAAAAAUCAAUAAAGAUAAUUUUGACAUAUAUAAAAAAAAACGAAAGGAAAAAAAAACAUUCAUGGAAACACUAUAACAAUCUAUAGUGUUUCGUGAGAAAAUCUACAUUUGUAAUUUUUAACCACCUCAAUAUCAAAAACAAUAAAAACGACAAAGACAAUUUUAAAAAAAACAUAACAAAUAAAAGCAUAUGGAAAAACACUGUAGCAAUCAACGAUGUUUUAAGGAAAAAAACUAAAUUGUUAGCCAAUUCAGUAUGAAAAAAAUAAAUUUGACAAAAACAUAUUUGGAAAAAAAGCAUCGACAAAAAAAAAAUGUGGGGAACACUGUAGCAAGGAAAAAAUAAUAUGGGAAAACACUGUAGUAAUCUACAGUGUUUUAAAUAACUACAAAGCUAAAUUCUCAAUCAGCUUAAUAUAAAAAAAAUAAAAUCGACAAAGAUAAUUAUGAAAAAAAAAUUAUUUAAUAAAAAGACAUGUAGAGAAAUGACUAUUCACUAGACUUGUAGAUAUUAAUUAUAAAGUUUUUGAAAGUUUUCAAUCUAGUAUUUGAUUUUUUUGUUUGCAUAAUUGAAUCUCUUUGAACCCAAAUUAAAAUUUAAUUGCAUAUAUUAUUUUAAUAAAAUAGUUUGAAAAACAAAAAACUGAAGUAGAAACCCAGUAAAAAUAUGUGGUGAUACUAUAAUUUAUUUGUAAAGUUUAUUUUAAUUUCUUAUUUUUUUUAAAUUACUAGGUAAUAUGUCCCUAUAAUUUCUUGAAAUUGCAUUUUGAUACCAAAUAUCACUAGUUGUUUUUUUUAAGGAGAAAGAGUUAUUAUUAAGUAUUUUAACUAUCAAAAUAGUUGAUUUUUUAUGAUAAAUAAUUCCAUAAUCUGGCUUUCUUUUCAAAGUCCAGCUAAGUUUUUGGCUUAUUAUGUUCACAUAGAGAGGUGGGAUUUUAUAAGCCAUGCAAUAUAUUUUUUUUUUUGGUAACCAAACAUAACCACAAGCCCAAAAGAAAACAAUUUUAACAAUACCCACCAAACAGUUGAAGUGCUAUGUAGUAAUGAUUUUUUAGAAUUGUAUUUUUUUUUGGUAAGAUAUUGAAGUAUUUUUUAUUUUUAAUAUUAAUAUAUUAAAUUAUAAAAGAAUAUUUAAAAAAUAUCAAUUUAAUAAUUUUUAAAAUAAAUAAUUUUUAAUUUAAAAAAUAUCUAAAAAUAAAAGAUACCAUACUCCUGAACGAGCUAUAAAAUCAAUCUAAAAUUUUUAUAAACUCAAUUUACAAGCUGGGUACAGAAGUAUCAACACAACUACUUGAGAGACUGUUUAAAAUCAAUCCUUUUUAAAAAUAAAAAAACUCCUUAGUUGUUAAGGAAAGAUUGGUAGUGUGAACAAAUCACCAAAGUCAGCAGCAAGGAAGUUCCAGGAAGUGGGCAGCCUUUCUUCUGCUGCCAUUGUAAAAUCAUAUAUUUAAAAUACAGUAAUAAAAAUGUAAUACGCAGCUAAUUAAUGUAUUAAGCAGCUAAUUAAUGAUGUUGUUCUUUCUUCUUGUUUUUCUAUUUUGAUUUUAUUGUAUUUUUUCAAAAAAAUUAUGAUUGUGAAAGCUAGCCAAAGCAUUAGUUCCAAGCAAUCUAUGAGGUUAUUUAACAGUGUGGUUGUCAUUGCUUUUCAAUGUAUUUUUCAUUCGAAAAUACAUCAAAAUAAUAUUUUUUUUAUUUCUUAAAAAUUAUUUUUAAUAAACAUAUCAAAAUAAUCUGAAAACACCAAACAAUUAUUAAUUUGAAGUAAUUUUUUUUUAAAAUGCUUUUAAAACACAAAAAACAAACAGAAAAACUAGUGUAGGUGCGCUCAACAUUGUCCCGAGAUACUUUUAUAAUCUAAGUUUUUUAAUAUAUUUUUUAUUUAAUUAUGCAAUAUAUUCAUAGAAAACACCCAAAAUAAAAUUAUAGACAAAAAAUAUAUAUUUCAUCAAAAUUCUCUAGUCUAAUUCAUGUAUUUUUCUUCAAAAAAAAGUUUUUGAUGAUAUGAAAAGUAAUAACAACCAGGAAAAGUCUCCUAAGAAACUGUAAUGAUUUGAACUAAAAAAAUAUUUUUUUGUUGAAAACAUAGUUUUUUUAAUUCAUGAAUUUUUUUUAUUGAAAAGAAAUGUACUUUUUAUGAGUAAUUUUAUUUUGCUCAAAUGUCCCUAAUACAUAAUUAUUCAUAAAAUAUUGAAAAUAUCAUAAUAAAAAUGCCUAAUCUUCUUAAAAACAAUUAAAUAAUUGAACAAUCACUUAAAUAUUAUUUUAAUAAAUUGGAUUGAAAGAUUUUUUUUUAUUAAAAAUAAAGAAUAAAAAAAAUGAAAUGAUAUCUAAGAUAAAGGUUAUACAAGCCUUGAAAGAUAAUAUAUGUACGUGUAUAAUACAAAUUAAUAAAUUCUAAGUAGCAAUAUUUAAUGCAAGUUUAAGAAUAAGAGUUUGCUUUGUGUUUUGUUGUGAGAUUAACCAUAUCAAAUUAUAUAUUUAAUAAUAAAUAACUGUGUUGUGUUAUGAGUAAAAUCAAUAAAUUAUUUGGUGUUCUGCUAUCUUGUUGUUUGAAUUAAAAUUAUUAUUAAGAAUAUAAAUUAAAUAAAAUAUUGAACAAACUAAAUGAAUUGCUUAAUAAAUAAAUAAUUUUUUUUUUUAGAAAGCAUGGAAAUGCCAUGACAUUGGCUUUUUAGAUAAUACUACAAUAUUAACAGCCAAAGAAAUCAUCGAUAGCUGUGUAAAUCAUCGAAACUGCCACAAAAGCAGGAGAGGUAUUUCUUUUGGCAACACAUAAAUGAAAAAGAAUAAGAGUUCCUAGAUCUGAAAUAGGAGGAUAUAAUAGAUAUGCAAUAUGAGAGGAGGUUCCAAGAUUUAUUUAUCUUUGCCACCAUUUACAUUUCCACCGAGCAUCAUCUAGUAAAACAAUUCCGGGAUGGACUUAGACAUGAGCUGAAGCUAACCUUGAUAACUAUACAAUUCCGGGAUGGACUUAGAAUUGGUGUGGGCUAGAGGAUAAUGAAUAACACUAUGAAGCCAACUAAUAAGCAGAGUCAAGUAAAUUGUUCAUAAUGAAUAACACUAUUUAAGAGAAGAGACUUUAUGCAUCCUACAAAGAGGACCCCUCCAAAAAAAAAAAGAAAAAAAAAAGGAUAGUCGUUCGAGCAAUUUCAUGGAAGAAGGGGGAGCUUUAUUCACGGGGAAAAUUCAGGGGGAGCUAAAUGCUGGAGCUUUAUUCAUAGUUGGAUCAUUUGUGAUUUUAGUGUUUGCUACUCUCAGUACUUAUAUUAGAAGUGCUCUCAUCUUUGAAGGAAUGUAAAAAAUUGUUAAUAUGAAACUUAUUAUGUAUAGAAAAUUGUUGUUUUUUUUUUUUUUGGGUUUGAAUUAAUAUAAACAUACACAAUUAGUUGAAUUUCAAGAAUGAGCGAAUUUCAAGAAUGAGCUAACUUAAGAAUAAUCAUAAGUAUGUUUUUGUUAGAAAUAACUUUUUACUUAAAUAAAAAAUGUGUUGCAAAAUUGAUUUAUAAGUUUCUUUUUUCUUACUUUUAAAUCAUGGAUUGCAUCUUACACAAUAUUUUUGUUAAUUAAAAAAUAGUUAAUUUGAGUUGUUUUUAUUAAACAUCCUUAUAAUUAAUUCAUUUUCACAGUGAAUUAUUUAUUAAAAACAAAUUAAGAUUAACACUUAAAAAAAAAUAAAAAAAUAAUUCAAGAAUCAUAUUAAAAAAUUCUUAAUUUCUCACAGCACAACAAAAUGCUUUAAAAGAAAGCUAAUAAUCUGACAGGAGGUGGGGCUGCUCUUAGCCAAUGAAAACAGCUUCACAUGCAACACAUCAACAUGAAAAAAAAGAUUAUCAGCCUGUUUUUUCCUUAAAGAACACCCUCUUGGAUUCUCUAGCAUUAGCCACAAAGGUAUCUGCUUGGAAAAACCAUUCCACAAUCUAGAAAUUUAAAUGCCCAAAAAUACAUCGAUUGACAACAAGUCACAUGCCCAUACAUACAUUAACAUUGAUUUCAGAUCUUUUACAAAUUCUAAUCUUUGUAAGAAGCUGUUUUGCUGCCCAUCGGAUGUGACCACCUGACCAGAAGACAAUAUUAUAUUUUUUAAACCCUUCACUCUCAUAAACAACAAUUUAUAUGAUUAUAAAUAGGAUAAAAUAGGAUUACAUAUUUUUAGAAAUUACCUAUUACUGUUUUAGUUUUUUUUUCCUUAAUUAGAGAUAAGUUGAAUAAAGUAGUAACAAUUAUAUUUUUGAGAGAAAAAGUAACUACAACUCCUAAUAAUUAGUUUCGUGUAAGAAAUAAAAAUAAUUAUGUUAAUAAACUUUUAAAGAUAUUUUAAUUGAAUUAAGUAUUUCAACACAAAAUUUAUGCUCUUAUACAGUUAUAUAUUAAUUCUAACAAAAAAUAUGAUUUCUAUGUUUAAAUGUUGGUAUUAAUAACGGAUACAACAAUGAGGCAGUUAAGUUUGGUGGAUAAAAUAAAAUCAUUAAUAAAAUAAAAAUAAGCUAGUAUGUUUGUUACAUAACUAAAAAUAUUUAAUUUUUUUAUAUAUAUUUUUUUAAAUUAUUUUAAUAUGCUGAUAUCAAAAAUAUAUAUUAACAAGUUUUUAUUUCAAAAAUAAUAAUAAUAAUCCUUUGCUAGAAACUUAACAAAAGCCUUUUAUAGGUGCUCCCUCACGCGUCGUCUUAGUUGCUGACCAUUGAUUGCUCAUUGCUUGAUGCGUGGAGAUAGGAUCAGAUUUUUAAAGCUAAAUCUUGCAUCAAGGGUGGCUACUGGUAUUGAUGUCAUUUUCUUAGGUCAAUGAACAUUAUUUUUUUACAAUUUUAUAUUUUCAUGUAAUGUUUUGUGAUAUUUUAUCCUUGCAUUUUCUUGACAAUUUAAUGUGUUUUGUUGCAUUUUCUUUUAAAAUUAGAAAAAAACUCAAAAAAUGUCUUUUCAGUAGUUUUAUUCAUUUCGUUAUUUUUUUCAUUUAUUUUUUGUGUGUCAAGAAAUCUUGAAAAAAACAAUAUAAAAAUACAAAAAAUAAAUAAUAUAAAAAUAUGUAGUUGGGGUUGCAAUUGGACCAAUAUUUGAGUAUCACAAGUAAAAAUAAAAUUUGUAAAUUUUUAAGUCAUAAUUAAGAUUCGAAUUGAAGAUAAAUGGGCUAAAAUUGGCUAAAAUUGAAAGAAAUUGAAGUUCAAGGAUGAGUUUGGAACAAAUAGCCAAGUUAGAAAACCAAUUAAGAGCUUUAUUGAAGAAACAAAUUGAAAUUGGAAUGCAAUUUGACUCAAAACAAUGAAGAAUUGAAGGACCAAAGCCCUUAAAUGGAUAAAGCCGAUAAUUCAGAGGUCAUAUUCUGUCAGGGUUUUACUUGAAAGAAAUUUUUAAAAAAAGGUGAAAUGACCGAACUAAGGAAGAUUCAAAAACCAAUGAUUAAAAUGCAAAAAACGCUGAAAUGCAGGGACUUACAUGAAAAUGGGCCUAAUUUAAUUAGAAAAGAAACCCCAGGGCCUAAUUAGAAAACCUGUUUCAAAUAAAGUGAGACGAUGUGUUUUCUUGGGACUAGAGUUCAAAUUGCCAACAAACUCCUCUUGCCAUUCCCUAAUUGCACUGAGCCAGCUAAUCUGGAUGAAAGUUAUCGAUAGCUGUGAAAAUCAUUGAAACCGCCACAAAAGCAAACUCAAAUUAGUUAUGAAUUGGAUUCGAUGGAAGGAAGAUGGGAAGAGGGGAAAUUAAAGAGAGAUGAAGAUCUGCGCAUGGCUACCUGUUUUUGAGAGAAUUAUGGAAAGUUAUCCCAACUCAAAACGGCACCAAUUAUAAGUUCAGUAAAAAAAAUCUGGAACACAACAGAUGGAAAAAACUGCUACAAUUUAGGCAAGAAAUUCAGAAUGAGCCAAGAUUUCAAGUGAGAUGAAACUUUUUGUCUCACUUUUUUUUUUUUUUUUUUUUUAAUAGUAUCAUGGAUAACUAAACAGAGGAACGUUAAGAGGAUAGAAUAUUUAGAAUCACUAGCAAUAGCCAGCUGCUAGGUAUCUGCUCGAAAAACCCUUACUAUUAAUGCUAGGCAGUAAGGUUCUACUUAUAAUUUAGAAUUAGUUCUCAGCAACUUCACAGUUUAACUAAAACAUUUCUUAGCAAGUCUUUUGUAAUGAAUAAAGUAGCCAGGAUCAUUUCCAGCAUACUUCCACCUUUAACGAAGCAAUUAGGGUUUCUAGCAACUUUAACUUGCUAUAUACAAGUUUAACUCUUAUCAUGAACAUUGGCAUUUAAUGGAAAUUCAGUGCAGGAUAAUAAGGAAUUAAGCUUCAUGAAACAUGAAAUAAUGCAAGAGUUAAACAGGCUCUUGAUUUCCAACAUCACAAGCUAUAUGCCUAGAAAGAAGCUUGUGAAAGGGUUUGUAAUUAAGCAGCAAACAAUUAGAAAUCAGAGGAUACAUUGCAAUUGCCAGCAAUGUAUCUGCUCGAAAAAACCAUUCAACAAGGGGUUCUGCGAGGAAAACAUGAGAUUGUUCAUACAAUAGAUUGGAUAUCAGUUUCAAACUUUUGAACAAAUAAUACAACAUCAAGUCUCAGUCAUCACAUGAUCAUACGAAAACAUUUAUUCAAGAUCUUAAGCGGCAUUGCCAGGCCCAUUUCCAAAACCACAUAAGCAUAUGCAAUAGAAACAGAGCAUCAAACUGACAGAGAAAACAUACUGAUGCAGCAAAUACCCAAGUCGUAGAGCCAUUAAUUUGAGUAGAAAGGAGAAUGAAAGUCCACACAUUAAACAGUACGCACAUACAUGAGUAGACAUUAUGCUGUUUUUGAAGAUUCAGACACUUCAAAAGAAACUCAAAUGGGCCAACACACACUUAUUUUUGGGAAGUUCACACAGCAAACACGUACAUAGAUAAGUCGAAAUCUUCUUUUGGUAAAUAAAAUUGUUACAAUGUGAAGCCAAUUUCAAUCCCAUUGCCAAUGAAACAGUUGGAAUUAUUUCCACCAAUCUAAAACAUAUUCCAUGUAAUAGGUAACAUGGACAACCUUGCCUGAUGCAAACAUGAAGAACAAAGACAUGAAGACAUGAAUAUCCGUGAAAUCGCCUAAGGUGGAGUUGAUCAUGUAAUAGGUAACCAACCUUGCCUGAUGCAAACAUGAAGAACACAGACCAUCCAUGCAUAUCGCAUAUGUUAAUUUAAUUCGAACUUUAAAAGUUGAAGGAAAAGGAGAGCAGAUAAAUAAUUGCAGCCAUAUCACCUGGUUUGGGCAAGAAAGAAUUAUUAGACUAGCAAACAUCAUCAUCACCAUACUCUUCUACUUCUUCUUUCCACCCAGUAUCUCGGGUCCGCUCUCUAUUAGUUCUUGAAUCUUCAGCUACUUGAGAUAUCUGUAAACCAAUUCAAGCAUGGCAUACACAUUCUAACUUGUAAAUCUUAUUAUUGAGCGAAAUAAGAAACAAACACACUAAAAGAGAUGCAAGAAAUCAAGUCAAAUCUACAGCACCUCUGAUUGAGCACUCAUUGAACCAUCUGGUGUAAUAGCAAAUUUUGUGCUCAACUUUGUGCAUUCAUACACCUUCAACUUCUCCAAACGUGGGAAUAAGAAAUCACAACAUCCGAAACUGAAGAGGACAAUACUUGAUAAUUGUUUUAGCAACAGCUCCUUUAGAUCGGAAAGCACCAUCUCCUUCUCAACAUUGACAGGUGAAGCAUGAUCAUCCUGCCCAAAUACUCCCAAUACUUGAGAGGAUUUUGUUACUCUAAGUAUUUGGAGCUUUGGGAGACUUAAAGCCAUGGCUACUGGGAAAAGGCUCUUCAACGUGUUGCAUUCUCUAAUCUCAAUAUGACUUAAAUUGGGAAAGCAUAAAGAUCGAAGAGGAUCUCCUAACAAUAUCUGGUCGUUUUCAUCAUCAUCCUUAGCAAUGAUUUGCUCUAAUUCCUCACAGGACAAUAUCUUUAGAGCUUUCAGUUGAACUAGAUUGAUAAUCAUGCUGCAUGUGAAUACAUGUGUCAGUCUCUUACAAUUAACCACCUCUAAAGUAGUCAAUUUGCUCAGCACAAGACCCUUCCAUAUACACCUCAUGUCAGGUAGGGAUUCCAAGUAUAAUGUUUCCAAAUUUGUCAGCCCCUGCAUCAAAAGAAAACAAGGAUACCAAUUUGUUAGAUAUAAUUCCUAAUAAAUUUUGUGCACUUUGGAACUAUAUAAUUUAAGUAAAUAAAUGAACGACUUGUCCCCAAUACUUCAGCCAAAAACUUAACAACAAAAGGAUACAAGUAGACAUGGCAACAGGGCAUGGGAACAUGAAAUCAGAAGUUGCAGGACUGAAAGAGACAACUCAAUAUAAGAUGGAGGUUUAUCUUCCUUUUCAAAUACUUCCAUUAAUUGGGGGAAGAGCCUCAAUUUCACUCAAACUUUGGAAAGCAUAAAGAUUGAAAAAUCUAGGUAGGAUUUCAUUACAAUAAUUAUUUGUUCUAGUGACAGCUACCACAAAUUAGGAAGCACCAUCUCCUUCUCAACUUUGAUAGGUGAAGCAUGAUCAUCUUGCACAAAUACUACUAAUAAUUGAGAAGCUUCACUUACUUUCAGUAUUUGGAGCUCUGGGAGACCUGAAGUCAUGGCUAUUGGGAAGAUACUCUUCAACUUGUUGCAUUUUCUGACAUCAAUUUCACACAAAUUGGGAAAGCAUAAAGAUCAAGAAGAUCUUCUAACAAUAUCUGGUCGUUUUCAUCAUCAUCCUUAGCAAUGAUUUGCUCUAAUUCCUCACAGGACAAUAUCCGUAGAACUUUCAGUUGAACUAGACUGACAAUCAUGCUACAUGUGAAUACAUGUGUCAGUCUCUUACACUUAACCACAUCCAAAGUAGUCAAUUUGCUCAGCGCAAGACCCUUCCAUAUACACCUUGUUGUAACCCAUUUUUGGGUCCCUAUAAAAAAAAUAAUAAAUAAAAAAAAAUAAAAAAAAUAAAAAAUAAAAAUGUGCGCAGUACUGGCGCAGUAACCUGUAGAUUAAUUCUCUGGUUACUGUACACACAGUAACCCGGUUACUAUGUGCACAGUAACCAGCCAAAAAAAAAAUAGAAAAGGGCUAAACGGUGCCGUUUUGAACGGCACUGUUCCCCUUUCUUCCCCGCCUAACAUACAGCAGUAGAGAAGGAAAAAAGAUGUAUAUUUAAUGGCGUUGGUCCCUCCAGCCCACCGACCGAAGACAUUGGCCGACCGCCUACCGCACCGCCGAAACUGAGGGAGGCACGCCUGGACAGCCACGCCCGACCAGCCGCCGCAUGACCCCACGAUGAAAAAAAAAAAAAAAACACAUGCUCACGGGCUAUAAAUGGAGGAGAAGAGAGGAGGAAGGAGGAGGGAGAGAGAGGGAACAGAAGAGGUAACAGAAGGGAGAAUAGAGUGAGAAGAGAGGAGAGAAGGCAGAGAAGAAGAAGGGAAGAGGCAGAGAAGAAAACGGGAAAAAACAGAGGAGAGAGAGAGAAGGAAAACCGCCGGCCACCGCGAACCGCCAGCGCCGCCGCCGCCACCCCUGCUGCAUCAGCUGCUGCCAGCAUCAACACAGCUUCAGGUAACGUCCUACCUUUCCCGUCAUUUUUUUGCUUCAGUUCAUGCAGAACGUUUACGUUCUGCAGAAUUAAUUAGCUAGUUACUGUGCACAGCACAGUAACUAGCUAAUUAAUUCACAUUACUGUGUGCACAGUAACCCCCGGUUACUGCAUUGCUAAUUAAUUCUGUGGUCACUGUGUGUACAGUACCCCCGGUUACUAUGUGCACAGUGACCAGCCUAUUCUUUGAGCCAGGUUCGGCCCAACCCAUAUAUUUGGGCCUGAUCCGACCCGUUUCAAAAAAAAAAAAUCAAAAAAAUUUGUUUCAGUAUUUUAUAAUUUUUUUAGUGUAAUUUUUAUGUCAUUUCGAUUAAUAUUUGAUGGUAUUUUUUUAUGUUGUUAAAAAUACAAAAAUCUGAUUUUUCAAAUACCCGGUUUUCGUAAAAAAAAAAAAAAAAAAACUUCCACAAAAUACAAAAAAUUAAAAAAAGAAAAAAAACUGUUUUUGUACAUACGGCCAAGUGUCUCAAAGCUAAAAAUUCAUAUUGUAUUUUUUUCAUACACAAAAAAAAUGUUUUAGCAUGCAUUUUGGCUUUAAUAACCAGUUUAUUAAAGUCAAGAGAAUAUUGGCCAAUAUUUCAAAAACAACAAAAAUUUUAUUUUGUUUCUCUUAGUAUCCGGGGUAUGACUUUACACGUAAUGCAUAUUCCGGAUAUUUAAUUCUUUUUUUUUGGACAAUAGAACCUGGGGUAUGACAUUACAUGUAAUGCGUAUUCCGAACAAUAAGAAACCACAACACGACCUUAGAUUUUAUCAGACAAAACAAUGCAGCCUACCUUAGGUAGGGCGUAGUUGGGGUGCUAAUACCUUCCCUUUACGCAACCAGUCUUCGUACCCGAUCUCUAAAGACCAGUUAGGGUUCCUAGUAACCAGAAUACUAGGUGACGACUCCCAGUCCAUAUUUGCACUUGUAGAGACAAGAAUUCCUUGUCUCUCCCUAUUUUCCAGGAAUAAAUAUUUUUCCAUUUUUUCCUUGAGGGUGGACGAUCGCCGCGCCGCCGCACACGUGCGAUACACCUCAUGUCAGGCAGGGAUUCCAAGCAUAAUGUUUCCAAAUUUGUCAAACCCUGCAUCAAAAGAAAACAAGGAUACCAAUUUGUUGGAUAUAAUUCCUAAGAGAUUUUGUGCACUUUGGAACUGUAUAAUUUUGGAAAAUAGAUGAACGAAUUGUCCCCAAUACUUCAGCCAAAAACAUCAACAAAAGGAUAUAAGUAGGCAUGGCAACAGGGCAUGGGAACAUGAAAUCAAAGUUGUAGGACUGACAGAGACAACUCAAUAUUAGCAGAUGGAGGUUUAUCUUCCUCUUCAAAUACUUCCAUUAAUUGGGGGAAGAGCCUCAAUUUCACUCAAACUUGGAAAGCAUAAUGAUUGAAAAUCUAGGUAUCAUUUCAUUACAAUAAUUAAUUUCUUACUUCUUAAGCCCUGCAUCAAGAGACAGGGAAAGAUACAUUUAGACAACUCCUUUUAAAUAUAGUGGAUGGCUAAUGGAUUUAUCUCCACUUAUCAUAGUGUAUUGAAGUUGACAAUUUAAAUAAAAAAGGAAAAAAUUAUUGGAGAAAUAUAAAGGACGUACUUGUAGCUGUGCCGACAAAUUACCCAAUUCUUCAUGGCCAGAGAUGCAUAGAUUUUGCAAAGAAGGUAAUUGGGCAGCAAAAUUCUUCAAACCAAAAAAGCUGUAAUUUGAUCUGGAAAAAAGCUCCAAUUUUCUUAGUCGAGGGAACUUGAUGAUGCCAUCUCUGGUGAGUGCAUCUCCUUCUCCACUGUGAAAUAUUUGCUUUAAAUUGUCAGCAAAUUCAAUCUCCAUCUCUUCCAGGUUCAGAAGGCUUGGAGACACAGAGAUAGGGAAGACAUAUUCCAGUUUACAACACUUUUCUAUGAAGAUAAAUUUUAAUUCUGGGAAGCCAGGAGACUCUGGAAUUAUCUCCCAUUCACCAUCCUCUUCUUUGAUAAUAUGCUUCAAUUCACCACAUUUUUCUAUCUUAAGUGUCUGCAGUUGUGGUAGACUCUGAGCGAGGGACGAUGUGAAGAUAAAUGUCAGUUUGUCGAGAGAAUACAAAUUCAGAAGAGUAAGACUUUGGAGGCUGACAUGUCUGGUGGACCCCUUCCAUAUACAUUUAAGCUCAGGUAGCUCUCGCACCUGUAACUUUGUUAAAGAUGACAGCAGCGGCAGCUCCUUCUCCUCACUGCUUCCUUCAUCAGCAUCACCCAAUUCAAAUACCUCUUCCAAUGAUUUGCAGUCCUUUAUUUCCACACUCUUUAGAUUUUUCAGAGCUUGCAGCAAUUUUGCUGGAAACGGAGUGCGGACAUCCCCACAAUCCCUCACUUCUACAAAUUCUAAUCUUUGUAAGAAGCUGUUUUGCUGCCCAUGGCCAUGGGCAACCAUCUGAUCAGAGAACAAUAUUAUGUUUUUUAAACCCUUCACUCUCAUAAAAACAAUUUAUAUGAUGUAUAAAUAGAAAAAAAAAAUAGGAUUAAAUAUAAAGUACAUACUUGUAGCAGUGCCAACCAAUUACUCACUUCUUUCCACCCGUUAUCUCUGGUCCACUCUCUAUUAAUGCUUAUAUCUUCAGCUACUUGAGAUAUCUGUAAGCAAUUCAAGCAUGGAAUACACAUUCUAACUUGUGAAUCUUAUUAUUGAGCGAAACAAGAAACAAACACACUAAAAAGAGAGAUAAGAAAUCAAGUCAAAUCAGCAGCACCUCUGAUUGAGUACUCAUUGAACCAUCUGGUGUAAUAGCAAAUUUUGUGCUCAACUUUGCGCAUUCAUACACCUUCAACUUCUCCAAACAAGGGAAUAAGAAAUCACAGCAUCCGAAACUGAAGAAUAAAAUACUUGGUAAUUGUUCUAGUGUCAGCUCCUGCAGACAAGAGAGCACCAUCUCCUUCUCAACAGUUAUAGGUGCAGCUUGAUCAUCCUGCCCAAAUACUCCCAAAAAUUGAGACGCUUUUGUUAUUUUAAGUAUUUGGAGCUUUGGAAUACCUGAAGCCAUGGUUACUGGGAAGAGACUCUUUAACUUGUUGCAUUCUUCAACCUCAAUUUCACACAAACUAGGGAAGCAUAAAGAUAAGAGAUGAUCUCCUGACAACAUCUGAUCCUUUUCAUCAUCAUCCUCAGCAAUGAUUUGCUCCAAUUCCUCACAACUUGAUGUCUUUAGAACUUUCAGGUGCACUAGAUUAGCAAUCAUGUUGUAUGUGAAUACAUAUGUCAGUCUCUUACACCCAUUCACCUCCAAAAUAGUCAAAUUGCUCAGCACACGACCCUUCCAUAUAUACCUCAUGUCAGGCAAGAAGUUCAAGUAUAAUGUUUCCAAACUCCGGAGUGAAAGUUCAUGCCCACCUCUUCUAUCAGUUACAAAACUUACAACCUGAAUUCCAUCUUUUAUUCCUCCGCAUUCUCUAAUAUAUAUAUGUCUCAAAUCUGAAAGCCCCUGCAUCAAAAGAAAACUACUUUGGAACUAUAUUAUAACUUUGGUACCCCAAUUUGUUGGGUAUAAUUCCUAAUAAUUUUUGUGCACUUUGGAACCAAUUAUCCCCAAUACCUCAGCUAACUACUUAUCAACAAAAAGAUAUAAAUAGACAGGGCAAUAAGGCAUGGGAUAUGAAAUCAUAAGUUGCAGGACUAAACACAUACAACUCAAAUUAAGCUCAAUAUUGGCAGUUGAAGUUUUAUCAUCCUUCCCAAAUACUUCCAAUUUUAGGGAAGAGCCUCAAUUUCACUCAAAUAAAGAUUGAAAAUACAUGUCUCAGUUCAUUAUUUCUAACUUCGUAAGCCCUGCAUCAAGAGACCGCGAAUGAAGUAGUUAGAGAACUCCUUUUAAAUUCAGUGGAUGCAUUUAUCUCUACUUAAUUAGGUUUUAGAAAGUUGGAGGAAGAAGGAAGAAAUUUAAAGUUGACAAUUUAAAUGAAAAGGUACAAAAUUAGCAGAGAAUAUAAACGAAUGGUUAGAUUUAAAUGACGUACUUGAAGUUGUUCCAACAAAUUACCCAAUUCCUCAUGGCCAUGAAUGGUUAGAUUUUGCAGAGAAGGCAACUGGGCAGCAAAAUCCCUAUGACCAAAAAAGCUGUAAUUUGAUUCAGACCAAAGAAUCAACUCUCUUAGCUUAGGGAACUUGAUGAUGCCAUCUCUGGUGAGUGCAUCUCCUUCACCGUAAAAUAUUUGCUUUAAAUUGUCAGCUUUAUCAAUCUUCAUCUCUUCCAGGUUCUGAAGACUUGGAGACACAGAGAUAGGAAAGACAUAUUCAAGUUCAGCACAGGCAAAUAUAUAAAGAGUUUUUAAUUCUAGGAAGGCAAGAGACUCUGGAAUUAUUUCCCUUUCAUCAUCCUCCUCUCUUAGAACAUACUUCAAUUCACGACAAUUUCUUAUCUCAAGUGUUUCUAGCCGUCGUAGACUUUGAGCGAGGGACAGUGUGAAGAUAAAUGUCAGUUUGUGAAGACGGUUCAAAUUCAGAUGAAUAAGACUUUGUAGGCUGACAUGUCUGGUGGGCCCCUUCCAUAUACAUUUGAGCUCAGGUAACAUUUCCAGCUCCAACCUUGUUAAAGAUGACAGCAGCGGCAACUCCUCCUCGACAUUGCUUUCAUCAUCCAAUUCAAAUACCUCUUCUAAUGAUUUGCAGCCAUUAAUUUUCACACUCCUUAAAUUUUUCAAAACUUGCAGCACUUUUGAUGGAAAAGGAGUACAGAUAUCCCCACAAUGCCACACUUCUACAAAUUCCAAUCUCUGGAAGAAGCCGUUUUGCUGCUCAUGAUCAGAAAACAAUACUAUAUUUUUUAAACCCUUCACUCUCCUAAAAACAAUUUGAGACACAGUAGGAAAUAACUGCUCCAAUAUCUCUGCAUUUAAGGAUGUGGCGCUUGUAUUAUCCAAAUGUAAUCUUGUCGAGGUUGGGUAUCCUACUGGAUCCCUUAUAAAUGGAUUAUAAUUCCCUAAAAUUAUAUCAUAUUUGAACACUCUGGGAAAAACAAAAUCUCUGGGAAUGCUUUCAACCUCUGGUAUCCUCAAUGAUAAUACAGCUAAAUUAGACAACGAAUUUAGUUCUGUUAGGCUUGCGUUCAUUCCUCCUGUGCUGUCACAUCCAUCAACAUCCCACCCCCCAAAGCUCUUUUUCCCGAUCAGCAGCUCUUCUAACUUCCACAACCUUCCAAUCAAAUUCACAGGGAUCCUUCUUAGCCUUUGACAACCUGUCACAUCCAGCAACCUUAACUCCUUGAGUUCUCCUAUUUCAUCAGGUAAUUCUUCGAUGGAUAAGCACCACAUAAGACCAAGAAUCUUAAGUCCCUGCAGCUUUCUCAACCAAAUGAGGUCCUUGCAUUCGCACUCCAUCAACACCAUCGAUUGAAGUUUCGUUGAGAGUUCGAGUGAUUGCAAUGACAAACACCCUCCCUUCACAGACAAAACUUCAAUUUCUUUCAUCCCUUCAAAAAACCUCUCUGGAACAUUCAAACCAUCAUCAACUUCUAAUAAUAGAACUUUGAGCUGUGGACAUACCAAUCCUUCAGGAAGUUCUGCUAGUUUAUUGCCCAUUAACGAAAUUGUGGUAAAACCUUCAAAGCUUUCAUUGCCAAUGGGCCACUUCUGCAACCCAACGCCAGCCUUUACCAUGAAUCCAUUUUCUGAUGAUGCUAUCUGAAUAGCAACAUCACGAACCAAGUCAUGCAUUUUCACAUGUUCUUCAGUUUCACUGCCCAACAACAUGCCACAGUCUUCGAGGUCUUCGAUUGCCACAUAAACUUGUACCCUUGCAUCUUCAAUGGGCUCCCCAUCUUGAUGUAACCCAUAACCAAUUGCAUAUCUCGUCAAGUCCUCAAUUGGAAUGUCAUAAUCUUCUGGAAAUAAACUGCAUAGCAAGAAACAUAACUUGGUUUUCUCGAACUUCAAAUAAUCAUAGCUCAACUUAAGACAUGUAAAAGCAUUCUUUUGUUCGUCAAUUUGUUCCAUGAGCGAAAAUUGAGAGUCUUUGAGCUGUUUAGACGCUACUUCCCACUCAACUUUAGAUUUAUUUCUUAGAACCUUUCCCACUGUCACAAGUGCUAUAGGCAAGCCUUUGCAUUCUCUCGCAACCUCCAUUGCCACUGUGUUCAAGGUAGAGUCCCCAUCAUCUAAACCUGCAUUGAUUCUGAAUAAAUCCCAUGCUUCUUUUUCAGAAAAGAGACCUAAAAACACUUUUUUCUGGCACUUCAUAUAAAAACAUAUGUCUCGAAGACGUGUUGUUAGAAGAAUUUUACAACCCCUGUGAUAAUCACCAAAUGGGAUCCCUAUUUCUUUCAAAUCAAUAUGUUUCCAAACAUCAUCCAGGAUUAUUAGCAUCUUCUUUCUCUGCAGUCUCUUCCAUAAUCGAUCUGCUCUCCCUUCUUUACUCUUUUCUUUAA